UGAGGCCAACUUAAGAAGGGAGCUUUACUACUAGCAUGCUUAUUAUGACAGAAGACUCCCACCAGGAAUAACAGCUUUACUAAAGUUAGAAGAAUUCGUGGCCAAGUUCAUGAGCAUGUGCAGAAAAAACUCUGGCAGUCGGAAAUAUGUGUAGAUUAACAUGGAUGCCAUUAGAGGAUGAAUCCUUACUCAGACACAAUUAAGAAUGUCAACAUCAUAUUCAUAUGAGCAGCACUAAUGAAUGUUUUAAUUAGUAGAAGAACGUGAUUUCGUAUCCCAUUUGGAAAGAAAAAUAUUUUAGUAGAGAUUAGAAAGGAAAGUACUUAAAUCAGAUUCUGUUUCAUUCGUAGAACGCAUGCAUAAAGUAUUUAAUAUUGUUCAAACUAGGACUGUCUGACUGUGGAACCAGCAGACAUAUGUAUCAGUCAAGGUUUUUGUAUCAGUAGAGGCUACAAUAGUGU